AUUGAACGCUGGCGGCAGGCUUAACACAUGCAAGUCGAGCGGGGUGAUGGUGCUUGCACUAUCACUUAGCGGCGGACGGGUGAGUAAUGCUUAGGAAUCUGCCUAUUAGUGGGGGACAACAUCUCGAAAGGGAUGCUAAUACCGCAUACGUCCUACGGGAGAAAGCAGGGGAUCACUUGUGACCUUGCGCUACUAGAUGAGCCUAAGUCGGAUUAGCUAGUUGGUGGGGUAAAGGCCUACCAAGGCGACGAUCUGUAGCGGGUCUGAGAGGAUGAGCCGCCUCCCUGGGACUUAGACACGGCACAGACUCCUACGGGAGGCAGCAAUGGGGAAUAUUGGACAAUGGGGGGAACCCUGAUCCAGCCAUGCCGCGUGUGUGAAGAAGGCCUUAUGGUUGUAAAGCACUUUAAGCGAGGAGGAGGCUCUUUUGGUUAAUACCCAAGAUGAGUGGACGUUACUCGCAGAAUAAGCACCGGCUAACUCUGUGCCAGCCGCCGCAGUAA
rnacentral:rRNA from 1 species